AACGAACGCUGGCGGCAGGCUUAACACAUGCAAGUCGAGCGCCCCGCGAGGGGAGCGGCAGACGGGUGAGUAACGCGUGGGAAUCUACCCAUCUCUACGGAAUAACGCAUGGAAACGUGUGCUAAUACCGUAUACGUCCUUCGGGAGAAAGAUUUAUCGGAGAUGGAUGAGCCCGCGUUGGAUUAGCUAGUUGGUGGGGUAAAGGCCUACCAAGGCGACGAUCCAUAGCUGGUCCGAGAGGAUGAUCAGCCACACUGGGACUGAGACACGGCCCAGACUCCUACGGGAGGCAGCAGUGGGGAAUAUUGGACAAUGGGCGCAAGCCUGAUCCAGCCAUGCCGCGUGAGUGAUGAAGGCCCUAGGGUUGUAAAGCUCUUUCACCGGUGAAGAUAAUGACGGUAACCGGAGAAGAAGUCCCGGCUAACUUCGUGCCAGCCGCCGCAGUAAGAC
rnacentral:rRNA from 1 species